CCCUCUGCUCAGAAGGGCCUGUUCCCAGGCAGGUCUCAGUGCCCAGAAGUGGAGAGGGGGGCUGUGGAGACAGGUGGGGUCACCCCAAGAAGAGUGGGUUUGCAAAGCUGCAGCAGCAAGGAAGCUGUGGGGUAAAAAGUUUAUAAGAGGAACACUAUUUUUUCUUUUGGCAGAAUUUAAUGGGUGCAGAUUGUUCAGGUCCCAAAGACAUGGGAAAAAAAAAAAAAGAGAGAAAGAAAAAGCCCUUUGCUGCUGCUAUUGAUAACUUGUCUCGCUUCACGUGGUGGGUUCAAAACUAAAAAUACUCUCCUCCCAACAGUAGAGAAGCCAGGGCUGUCACGUUGCAGAGGAGACUGGAGAGCUGCGGUGGGGAGGGGUCAGCUGCGGCCACGUGAGGGCCAGGGCCAGGCCUCAGUGGCCAGGCCCCUCUCUGGCUGCCCAGGCUGCAUCCACACAGAAGAUUCCAUGGCUUUCCAUAAAAGAGAGUGGGAGAAUGUCCUCUCUAAAGGCCUGGGGAGUGCCUGGGGAGAGGAGACAGCCUCAGCCGGGGCUCACCAGCCAGCAGCUGCCAGCCAGGCCAGCAAUGCCAAGGCACCCGGCGUUCCUGGAAGCCAAGCCCUGUUUGAUCUAAUGGGGCAGCUGUGGGUGCAGACCCAGAUAAAGAGAUAAACCCAGACCCAGAAACCUGGAGGAGGAGGUGGGAGCAACAACCUCUCUUCCGCCUCCUUCACAGUGAGAGGAAAGGAAGCGGAAUGACAUAGAUGUGGCUGGGACUGCUGGACCCCGCACGCCAGCCCUGGGAGGGCCGGGGGAGUCACUUAACCUGUCUGGGGCUCAGUCUUCUCAUCUGUAAAGUGGGAAUGAUGGCACCUGGUACCCACUUGAUUGGCUGUUGCAAACAUGAAACCAGAUGGGCCUGUAAAUCACAGGGCACUCGGCCGCCAUCAUCAUCAUCAACAUCAUAUCCUCAUCAUCGUCUUCAGCAUCAUGGCCCCAGCUCAUCCAUCUUUGUUGCCUUCUCCACCCCCAUCUUCCAUCCUUGGAGAACUGUGCCUCUUGAAUUGGCCUCGUGACCUAGUAAAGAUUAUGAC